GACGAACGCUGGCGGCGUGCUUAACACAUGCAAGUCGAACGAUGAUGCCAGCUUGCUGGUGGAUUAGUGGCGAACGGGUGAGUAACACGUGAGCAACCUGCCCCUGACUUCGGGAUAACCGCGGGAAACCGUGGCUAAUACCGGAUAUGACGCGCUAUCGCAUGGUGGUGUGUGGAAAGAUUUAUCGGUUGGGGAUGGGCUCGCGGCCUAUCAGCUUGUUGGUGGGGUGAUGGCCUACCAAGGCGACGACGGGUAGCCGGCCUGAGAGGGUGACCGGCCACACUGGGACUGAGACACGGCCCAGACUCCUACGGGAGGCAGCAGUGGGGAAUAUUGCACAAUGGGCGCAAGCCUGAUGCAGCGACGCCGCGUGAGGGAUGACGGCCUUCGGGUUGUAAACCUCUUUCAGUAGGGGAGAAGGCCUUCGGGUUGACGGUACCUGCAGAAGAAGCGCCGGCUAACUACGUG
rnacentral:rRNA from 1 species